rnacentral:tRNA from 1 species
GGCGGGGUAGCUCAGCCUGGUUAGAGCGCUAGACUCAUAAUCUAGAGGCCGCGUGUUCAAAUCUCGCCCCCGCCA